CUUGGGCGCUCAUCGCCCGGGCACGGCGUCCGGUGCGAGGCGCCUGGCGGCGGUUGCCGUGGCGACGACCGCCAUGACGACUGCGGUUCCAGUGGAAAGGGCGACGACGACGACCAAGUCCAGAGCGGUGGCGGAGGCCACGGCCGUGGUUGUGGCGGCGGAAAACAGUCCAGCGGCGGUGGCGACGGAAACCGGUCGCGCGGCCGUAGCGACGGAAUCCUGUCUGCCGGCGUCGUACGAACCUGGGGCGGCGACGAGUCUCCAUCUGGAGGAAACGAACGAAGGCGGAUGCAAUCGCUGGCAGGUGGAUGUGAAGAGAGGAGAAACUUGCCGUUUAAGAUGGCAACGAGCGCAGUGCUUGGCCCCCACGAGGAUCUCGAUCUUCGCCGCCACGUCCUUGCCUCCGCUGCUACCAGUAGCGGCGUUAUCCGCCAGCCGGCGCGUCUCUGCCCCAUUGCCAAGUUUCGGCGACGCAAGGAGCGGCGGGGAUCCGCGGCGAGCACUAAGGUGGAGCGCUACGUUCCUGCAGGCAGGACGAGGACUAGCAACAGCUGCAGCUGACCUUGGCGAGGACAAAGGGAAGAUUCUCCCAUCCCAGAUGCGUCGGCAACCAAUGUCCUCUCUCUGUGACAUUCCCAAAUUUUUGGAAAGUGAAUCAAUUGCAGUCUGAUGAUGAUGCACCAGAGGAAGAUGUGUAGACCAGUAAUUUGAAGCAGAGUCAGCAAACGUAACGGUCAGCGAGGCGGCAGAGUGGACCAAAUAUAUAGCUGCCCUUGCUACACAGGCAAGUAAGUAACACUCACUGAUAAAUUCCCAGCUCGCCGAAUUCAUCAAGAAAACCUGACGAAUCGGCUUAUGUCUGACGUAGAUGGAAAAGGUAAGUAUUUUAGCCCUAUCGGUUUGAGAUGAAUGAAGGGAUGCAUUGUUGGCUCUCAAUUUGUGUCUCAUCUCGAUGAGCCCCACCCAAUCUCUAAUUAGUACAGGUAAACUAACUGCCCUUUGGUUCAUUUGGCUUUUAUAGUAUAUUGCUGGAUAUUCAGUAUUUGCCUGCCUUUCUCCUAGCAUCGAUACUACGUAAGCAUAUAGUGACGAGCAAUGCAUGUGUGUAAUGCAUUGAUGAUACAUAAGCAUACCAAUAAGCAAUACAUGUGUGCGAAAAAACACAUUACGACAUAUUUAUAUAUUUUAGUUUGUAUUACUUUGGUCUUUCUGAAUCACAAGGUCUGCUCACAAAUUAUCUGAUUUUCAAAAUCAUGGAUAAUAGUAUUUAUAUUUGAAUGCAGAGAAUAACUAUCAUUUGGCAUCAGUUGAUGUUCUUAUUUUUUGAUUUAUUCGUUGGCUUAGAUUGUCACUUAUGCUAGCAUCCAUUUUACUUGGCCAAUUUACAUUUAGUUUUUGCAUUAUUGAAGCUGCGAUUUGUACCACUGUUCAUGUCCACCGUUACUUAACGUAUUUUCUUACAGUGACACUAGAAGAACAGCCAUGCAGACAACCUUGGUGAAGGAUCUGUCACCUCAAGGAUUUCAAUGGAAGGUCAUUGUGUGUGUCGCUUCAAUCAGGAAACAUAGGGAUUAAGCGAACUGGCAAAAUUUGUUUGAGCUAGACUUCAUUGUUAUUGACCAAGAGGUACCUCCUAAAUAUUCAACCACUAUGUUUGAGUCAAAUUGACCAAGAGGUACCUUCUAAAUAUUCAACCACUAUGUUUGAGUCAGUAGACACUUCUGUAUUUUUUCCGUCAAGCAUGCCCCGUAUUCAGAAUAAGAUAAAUGAUACAUAACCGCUCCAUUUCUUAUUCUGAAUUCUGAGAAAUUCAUUCUUUACUCCACACAGUGGCAAUGUGUUUCUUACUGGCUGAUGUUGCAUAUGCAAGAAAUGUUUAAUGAGUUGAAAAAUUAAUCUGAGAACCUUCCACUUCCAUUGUUUUAUGUUUGGCAAGCAGGACAUGGUUUUUAGCAUAUGAAAUUUGUAUAAAAGAACUUAGAUCUAUAAUUUAGUUUGUGCAAAUGAAAUCAAGGUAUUGCUACUGUUGAAGGGAGUAGAACAUCUCUUCUAUUUAAUCACAAUGGUCUUGCUUAAUCUAAAACUUGAGUUUUCAAUGUCACUAGGAAUAUUUUUUAGUUGUCGUUAAGGGAACUAUUUAGUUGUGCAUAUGUAGAGUGCUACUAACUAGACUUUUCUAGGAAUGAAAUAUCAAGACUUGCGAAGAUGGCGAUAAACUGACAAAAUUCUGCAAUAUGUUCAUAGAAUCUAAUGACUCAGUAUGAAAUCAAAUAUUAGCAUGGUUUGUUACCAAGAGUGUAUAUGUUUUUCAGUUGCUUACUGUCGAAUCUUCAUUGUUGAGAGGCAAAGGCCAGUUGGAAUUUUAUUCAGGUAGCCAUCAGACAAUGUGACAACUAAUGACUACCUAAGGUUGUUUUGGUAAUCUCCUAUUAACCUAUGGUCAUCAAAAUUGUGUGUGGUUUAUGUACGAUAGGACUAUGAGAGCAUCAAAUUGAUUCUUGGGUUCAUGGCGUUGAAGUCACCUCGCCGUCGACCACACGACAACAGAGGUGAAGUGCAGCUAUUUCAUCCCGUGACCGGCCAUACAGUUCACUGGUUCGGCCAGACAACCUCAAGCUGCAAGUCAAUUUCCUCUUCACCAAAAAAAUUCUAUAUGUUUCAAAAUCUCUAUUGUUCAGUAGAUGGAAGACAUCAUUGCUGGUUCUGAAUGAUUGGCGCAACAACUUCACAAACCUAGAUACUCUGAUUGUGAUUUUGGUGUUUAACGAGCCUUUGUUGUUAUGCCUAUAAGAACCAAAUCAGUAUAUUUUCAGAAUUCUCGAUUGAUCUGUAAGGACUAAGUAAUUUAUUCGACUGAUUAACUUAUUUUCAUUAGGUGCAGCGCAGCUUGGUCUUCCUUUUCUAGAACAUUUUGCGGUGUAUCUUUUUUUCAAAUUUUCUACAUUUUAGCUCCACAAAUACUACAUAAAUAUAUAUUAAGUAUAUAACCACUUGGCUAAACAAGAAAGAAAUCCGGGCACAACUUUUAUCGCUUUCUUAUUAGUCGGUCACAUUAGAGGUUUGGGUCACAAGAGCAAGCACGUCGGGUUUCAUAACCUAAAGAAAAAGUUGCUUUCCACCUCUUUCUUCCUGCAGUUGUCAGUUAAAGAUGAACCUUGCUGUUUAGUUUCUGUGUGACAAGACUAAAAUACGUGCCUCCCUCCAUGGUAAACUAUAUUUACCGCACCAUAUAUAGCAAGGGCGCGGCGUGCGCCGCGCCGUAAACUUCCUAGUAUGUUCUGAUGAAUAACCGGCUUUGGGGGUCUCUCGAUGGUGCAAGAGAAGGAGGAGGCGGGUGCGGGUGCAGCCGCUUGCCCAGCAUCCUCCGUCCACAUAAGGUAAACUUUAUUCGUAGUCAUUCACCUCCCAUCUAUGAGCCCUCUGAAUUUUAAGGUUAAUCAUAUGAUACUCCAUUGGAAGCAUAUCAUAUCAUUUAAUUCGCUUUCACUAAUUGUGAGUUGUAGAUUUUAUUUCAGAAGCACAAAAUCUGACCAGCAAGAAUCUGGCAUUCAUCCCUCAGCCAGCCUCAAGUUGCAUCUAUAUAUAUUAUCAUUCAGUUGACUGAUCCACAAUUAUCAAGGCUGCACUCGCUUUCGUAAUAUGAGUGUACAAUGAUUUGCUAUUAUAGUUGCAUAUGAGAUUUUUCGAUGCUGCAAUAUGCCAAGAUAAGUAUAUAUCAAACCCGUUCAUUUGAAGAGAUAGAUAAAUCUGAGAUCGGAAAAGAGAUCAGGUCAGAUUUUAUUGGUUAGAUAUGUCAGCUUUUGUUGAUCUUGAUCACCUGGUUAUGCUGACAUCUCAAAUUAAAGUCAACUACAUUAUUGUUGUUCACAUGGAUUCCAUGGAUAGUGGACAAUAGUUAUGUGUGUAAGAUAUUUCUGUUCCUAUUUCUUGCAUAUUUCUUAGAUGAUGUUUUGUGAUCAGCUGUUGCACUUCAUAUUGACAUUCAGGUGUAAGCAUUAAAAUAAAGUGAUUAGUUGUCACAAUGCAA